rnacentral:tRNA from 1 species
AGUGAUGUAGCUCAGUGGCACAGCACCUGCCUGGCAAGCGUGAGGUCCUGAGUUCAAUUCCCAGUACUG